rnacentral:rRNA from 1 species
GACAGAGGGUGCAAACGUUGUUCGGAAUUACUGGGCGUAAAGCGUGUGUAGGUGGCUGCGUAAGUCGGAUGUGAAAGCCCUGGGCUCAACUCAGGAAGUGCACUCGAUACUGCGUAGCUCGAGUACCGGAGAGGUUGGUAGAAUUCUCGGUGUAGAGGUGAAAUUCGUAGAUAUCGAGAGGAAUAUCUGUGGCGAAGGCGGCCAACUGGACGAGUACUGACACUGAGACACGAAAGCGUGGGGAGCAAACAGG